CAUUUUUAAAUGACCACUGGGUGUCGCUGUAGCCUUAAAAUUCACAUAGAACCCAGAAUGAAGCAGUAUGUAUAUUUCUGUCUCCAAGACUAAACUAAAAGCUGCUGAUGACUGAAACAUUCGGCAGGUGGCGUGAUUUACCAGAUAAACCCACGUGAAGGAUAAAAGUCCCAAAAACCCUGGCUCUGCUCUGCCUGUACAUCUCUGAGUGUGUGGGUGAGCUGACCAUCACCUGACUGCCAAACUAACAACAGUCUCCAGUAUAACAGACACUGAGGAGUGCACAAUUACAGCAGCUGUGAUAAAUGUGGAUAAAAGCACUGAAGGGGCUUUUGAAGUAGACAAGGCGCCUGAUUGACACAGGCUAGGACAUCAUCCCAGGCUGCUCUGUUCGUGCAGAUGAUCAGACACGUAACUUUGUUGGACUGGAUGGAUUCUGGGCGAUCUGUAAACUAUUUGCCGACUGAAUUUCCACGGCAGGUCGAAACAAACCUCAGGUCACCAGGAAAUAAACUGCUGCUUCCUGUGGCCACUCCAGCUCUGCCUGGGACAGAAAUCUACUCCCCACCAGUGCCACUCCAUAACAACACUUUACUCUAAAUUUACAGUUUACAGUGAUCUUUAAACAACGGCACACACACCAGUUAUAUAAAUAUUUCCCAGGUCCAUCCCUAUUAAAUGUCUUACAUCCCAGCACAGUAGUCUUACACUAGCAGACAUAUUUAUUUAUAGCAAAGGUACAUGUAGAUUUAUCCUUGUUGACAAAUUAAAAAAAUUAACAUGAUAAAAAAUAAAAACAAAUAUAGAGGACCCUUAAAGAAAAGCUCUCUAUCUCCCCAAAUAAACAGCAGGAAGUAAGCUUGAAAAAGAUGAUUUUUCAGUGCAUGAGCUGAAACUUAGCCUCCUGGAUGCGAGGUAAAACAUCUUCACAGGCUUAAAAAAGUCCAGUUGCCUUUUUGUUCAAGUUCUUCAACAGGAAAGAAGCAAAAACAUUUAGAGCAUUCACAUUCGUCCUGUCAAUGACCCGUUCUGCCACAUCCCACUUCUCAGGUGAACACAGACACUCUCACAGUGAACUCAUUGUCCUGAUCAUGGAACCAGUUUUAGACUUUGUGUCGUCUCCAGUUUGUACACUAAAAGUUAAUGUCACGCCACCACACGGCUGUUAUGCCUAGU